rnacentral:rRNA from 1 species
AUACGUAGGGGGCGAGCGUUGUCCGGAAUUACUGGGCGUAAAGGGUGCGCAGGCGGCUUGACAAGUCAGAUGUGAAAAGCUACGGCUUAACCGUGGACGUGCAUAUGAAACUGUUGGGCUUGAGUGCAGGAGAGGCAAGCGGAAUUCCUAGUGUAGCGGUGAAAUGCAUAGAUAUUAGGAGGAACACCAGUGGCGAAGGCGGCUUGCUGGACUGUAACUGACGCUGAGGCACGAAAGCGUGGGGAGCAAACAGGAUUAGAUACCCUGGUAGUCCACGCUGUAAACGAUGGAUACUAGGUGUAGGAGGUAUCGACCCCUUCUGUGCCGGAGCAAACGCAAUAAGUAUCCCGCCUGGGGAGUACGGCCGCAAGGUUGAA